rnacentral:rRNA from 1 species
AUUGAACGCUGGCGGCAUGCUUUACACAUGCAAGUCGAACGGUAACAGGUUAAGCUGACGAGUGGCGAACGGGUGAGUAAUGCAUCGGAACGUGCCCGGUCGUGGGGGAUAACGCAGCGAAAGCUGCGCUAAUACCGCAUACGAUCUAAGGAUGAAAGCGGGGGACCGUAAGGCCUCGCGCGAUCGGAGCGGCCGAUGUCAGAUUAGGUAGUUGGUGGGGAAAAGGCUCACCAAGCCAACGAUCUGUAGCUGGUCUGAGAGGACGACCAGCCACACUGGGACUGAGACACGGCCCAGACUCCUACGGGAGGCAGCAGUGGGGAAUUUUGGACAAUGGGCGAAAGCCUGAUCCAGCAAUGCCGCGUGCAGGAAGAAGGCCUUCGGGUUGUAAACUGCUUUUGUACGGAGCGAAAAGGUCUCCUCUAAUACAGGGGGCUCAUGACGGUACCGUAAGAAUAAGCACCGGCUAACUACGUGCCAGCCGCCGCAGUAA